rnacentral:rRNA from 1 species
GAUGAACGCUGGCGGCGUGCCUAACACAUGCAAGUCGAACGCUCGCAAGAGAGUGGCGCACGGGUGAGUAACACGUAGCUAAUCUGCCCUCAAGACAAGGAUAACUGUAGGAAACUACUGCUAAUACUUGAUAAGCUUACGGACUGUAGAGGUCUAUAAGAAAAGAUUUAUCGCUUGAGGAUGAGGCUGCGCGCCAUCAGCUAGUUGGUAAGGUAAUGGCUUACCAAGGCGACGACGGCUAGGGGACCUGAGAGGGUGACCCCC